GCUGGGUAUGGUGGUACACACCUGUAAUCCCAGCAGCUCAGGAGGCUGAGGCAGGAGGGUCACAAGUUCAAGGUCAGCCUCAGCAACUUAGUGAGAUCCUAUCUCAA
rnacentral:sRNA from 1 species